rnacentral:rRNA from 1 species
UACGUAGGCAGCGAGCGUUGUUCGGAAUUACUGGGCGUAAAGAGUGUGUAGGCGGUGCUCUAAGUUCGGUGUGAAAUCUCCUGGCUCAACUGGGAGGGUGCGCCGGAAACUGGAGUGCUUGAGCGUGGGAGAGGAAAGCGGAAUUCCUGGUGUAGCGGUGAAAUGCGUAGAUAUCAGGAGGAACACCUGUGGGGUAGACGGCUUUCUGGACCAUAGCUGACGCUGAGGCACGAAAGCGUGGGUAGCAAACAGG